rnacentral:rRNA from 1 species
UAGGGAAUCUUCCGCAAUGGACGCAAGUCUGACGGAGCAACGCCGCGUGAGUGAAGAAGGAUUUAGGUUCGUAAAACUCUGUUGUUAGAGAAGAACAGCGCAUAGAGUAACUGUUAUGCGUGUGACGGUAUCUAACCAGAAAGCCACGGCUAACUACGUGCCAGCAGCCGCGGUAAUACGUAGGUGGCAAGCGUUGUCCGGAUUUAUUGGGCGUAAAGCGAGCGCAGGCGGUCAAUUAAGUCUGAUGUGAAAGCCCCCGGCUCAACCGGGGAUGGUCAUUGGAAACUGGUUGACUUGAGUGCAGAAGAGGAGAGUGGAAUUCCAUGUGUAGCGGUGAAAUGCGUAGAUAUAUGGAGGAACACCAGUGGCGAAGGCGACUCUCUGGUCUGUAACUGACGCUGAGGCUCGAAAGCGUGGGUAGCAAACAGG